AACGAACGCUGGCGGCAGGCCUAACACAUGCAAGUCGAACGCCCGUAGCAAUACGGGAGUGGCAGACGGGUGAGUAACGCGUGGGAACGUGCCCUUCGGUUCGGAAUAACUCAGGGAAACUUGAGCUAAUACCGGAUACGUCCGUAAGGAGAAAGAUUUAUCGGCCGAAGGAUCGGCCCGCGUCGGAUUAGCUAGUUGGUGAGGUAACGCCCACAAGGCGACGAUCCGUAGCUGGUCUGAGAGGAUGAUCAGCCACACU
rnacentral:rRNA from 1 species